GUCCUAAGCAAAUUCAAGUUCAACGCCUCAACUUUCCUCAAAACGACGGCAUUUCCACGGAGGUAAAGCGGAGUAGCAGAUUGCAAGAGCUUCCAGGGAGGCGAGGAGAGGAAGAGAGGGCCUCGCCCUUGACUUUGAAACGGAGCAAUCCAUUUGGAAAGAGGAGAGAAAAAGAGGGGAGGGGAAUGCGGAGAAGGAGAGUAAUGCAAGGGCUGGAGCGGUAAAGUAGCAGUAGUAUAGGGAAAUGGGAUUAUAGAGGUUGCUGCUGCAGUUAAGAAAGUCCUGUUUUUAUUAUGAUUUUUAGUGGUUAGGGUUCUUAGCGAUCUAUAGAUCACCAUUGAUGGAGCAUGUUACUGUUUUUCCAGGAUUUUUUUUUCCCUUCGAG
rnacentral:misc_RNA from 1 species